AAAUUUUUUCUCGUUGCGACUGUAGUGGGAGCUGUUUUUAGUAGAAUCUUGAAGUACACUACAGUAUAAAUUGGAAUGAAUGGGAUAAUUAAGCUUUGUCUUACUAGUUUUAGCAGCAGUAGAUAUAACUUCCCACCUAUGCACCCAGAUUGUUUGGAUUUGUAAAAGCUCAUAAAGAUCCCAUAGCAAUAUGACCUAUGGUAGAUAAAAAAGCUCCCCACUCUAUGAACUUUCUAGAUGAUUGCAGACUGGGCACUAUGACAUCUUCGAGAGUGUAUGUAUACCACCUCAUCCUUCUUAGGUUUUCUGGAAAAAUUGCUAGAAUCUGGCCCCUUCCCAGGAGAAAAGUAUAUAGUUAUGGAUUACAAAGCCCUGUAUCCCUAUCCCUAUACACCAAACUCCUGCGACAUU
rnacentral:lncRNA from 1 species